rnacentral:tRNA from 1 species
AGCCCCGUAGUGUAGUGGACUAUCAUAGUGCCCUUUGGAGGCAUUGACCGCGGUUCGAAUCCGCGCGGGGCUA